UGCAUUGUCGUCGUAGCAGCCGCGGUAAACCGUACCACCCAAACUUGAUGCGGAAUCACGAGUCUGAAAGGGUCCGUAGGCGUCUAAGAAAGUUUGGUGUGAAAUACCGCAGCUCAACUGAGGAAUUGCGCUAAAAACUACUUGGCUUGAGAAAGACAGAGGUGAGCGGAACUGAUGGUGGAGCGGUGAAAUGCAUUGAUAUCAUCAGGAACACCGGUGGCGAAAGCGGCUCACUGGGUCUUUUCUGACGCUGAUGGACGAAAGCUAGGGGAGCGAACGGGAUUAGAUACCCUAGUAGUC
rnacentral:rRNA from 1 species